rnacentral:misc_RNA from 1 species
GAGAUUGAAUGAUAAAAUAAAAACGUUUUCAUUAAAUUUUUUUUUCAGAACAAUGUAGAAUGUGAUGGGAGCAUUUGGUAUUCGAGGGAUGUGUUGGAGACGAAACAGGAUGAAACAAAUCUAUGCUGGUCUUCUAGUCUCUUCUAUUCUCAUAGGAAUAUGGUUACUUCUCCAGGCCCAGACUGAGCACAAUGAUACAGUAUUCAAACUCAACCAGGAGAUACAGACACUUAGAGCCAAGAUACACAGGAUACAGACUCAUGAAGUUGAUACCUCGAUACCAAUUAUUUAUGUGAUAACUCCGACAUACACUAGACCAGUUCAAAAAGCUGAGUUGACCCGUCUUAUGAAUGCAUUUACCCUUGUUCCUAAUCUUCACUGGAUAAUUGUUGAAGAUUCAAGUUCUAAAACUGACCUUGUGAAGAAUCUAUUAACGAGCUUCCCCAAACCUUCUACUCAUCUUAAUAUUCAGACUCCUGCCAAGAUGAAACUUAAACCUAAGGAUAAGUGGUGGAGCAAGCCUAGAGGGGUUUUUCAGAGAAAUCUAGCACUUAGUUGGCUAAAGGAAAAUGAGAAAAAUAAAGAAGGAAUCAUUUAUUUUGCCGACGACGACAAUACUUAUUCAGUUGAUCUGUUUGAAGAGAUCCGAGGCACUAAACGGGUUUCCGUCCUUCCUGUCGGUCUCGUGGGAGGAGUUAAAGUCGAGAAACCACAAGUAUCUGGUGGUAAAGUGGUUGGAUGGGAGGUUGGUUGGGGGAAUGAACGACCGUUUGCUGUUGACAUGGCGGGGUUUGCCAUCAACCUUCAGUACUUUUUAAAGCACACAGACGUAAAGUUCUUGGAGCAGGUGAAAGUCGGACAUCAGGAGUCUGAGUUCUUAUUUCAGUUGGUUUCAUUAGACCAACUUGAACCUGUGGCCGUUGGAAGGGUGUUAGUGUGGCAUACUCGUACGCAAGCUUUGAACCUUAACAGAGAGGAUUGGUUCUUGAAACAUUAUGGUUAUAGUUCAGAUACUGGCAUAGAACUAUGAUUCUAUAGAUAUAGUUCAGAUACUGGCAUAGAACUAUGAUUCUAUAGAUAUAGUUCAGAUACUGGCAUAGAACUAUGAUUCUAUAGAUAUAGUUCAGAUACUGGCAUAAAACUAUGAUUCUAUAGAUAAAGCUCAGAUACUGGCAUAAAAUUAUGAUUCUAUAGAUAUAGUUAAGAUACUGGCAUAGAACUACGAAUAUAGUUCGAGUAAUGGCAAUCAAAGUCACAAUGUCUACCGUAUCAUACUGUGAUAAAAUAUUAUUUAACACUCACGUCGAUAACUUUUGUAACUGUUGAUUAACAGCAGCUGUAAUAUUUUCAUGUGCCAGAGGCAGAAUUUAAUGAAUUUGAAUUGCGUUUAGGCUUGUUAACUUGAAAUUUUAAUCAUUGUUUCGAGAUUUGAGCUAGCGCGCGAUUUGAACCGGUGAUUGGCGGUUCAGCGACGCGGUUCAAAUUCAUUAAAUUCGGCCUUAGGAUUCAUCAAUCAGCCGUGGUAUAUUUUUAGACUUCCCCUCCCUCUGACUUCAGAUCUGCCAAUGCUUAAUGGGACUGUACGCGUAAUUUCAAGUGACCCUCCAUGCUAAGAUGACAAUGUUCGAUUUUUCUUCCACAAUUUUUAUAAGAUGAAGGUUUCAAGGGUUCCGUUGUAAAUUGGGCAUUAAUAUCGGAGAGUCACGUGAAAUUACGCUUACAGUCCCU